rnacentral:lncRNA from 1 species
AUGAAACCCAGGUCUCUGGUGGUACGUCCUGUGCUCAGCAAUGAGAGCCUCCAUAUGGAUAUAGAAGUAUCUGGUAUAAAUGUGUCAAAUGAAUUGGAAGCUGUUACAUACAGUACUGCAAGGGGGAAUUCUUAUUUAUUACAAUUUUGUUAUCAGUAUUCUUGUGGAGCUGAAUUUCCUGUGCAGACAUGCAGCAGCCAGGUUCACCACACGACCAAAGCUUCAGCGUGGGGAAGUUGUUCUCAUUCACCUCUCUGUUUAUUUUCCAGCUCUUAUCCUAUCAGCUCAAGUGAAUCAAGGUGGGAGGAGGUGAAGCAAUUGGAGCGGGCAGUUUUUAAGGCUGCACUGAGUAUAAGGGGAGUUAAGUGGAGACAAGCCCCAGACAGAACCAGUGGACCUGGUGUCACAUCUAACAGCUGUGUGAAGCAGUGCCCUAUCCCCUGGCAUAGCCAGAAGGAGAUGUGGAAGGAGGAAAUUCAAAGAGGAGGGAUGGAGGAGAAAAAUGAGAUGUUUCCAAAAGCUGUUGUGUACCAAAACGUGCACUGUAGAACUAGUGCUCAUUUUGUUUGGUGGGAGACACUGCAGCCAGCAAUAGACAAACAAAAACAGAAGGGAAGAGCACCAAAGCCACCAAGAAUAAAGCCAGGACGACUGUGA